rnacentral:lncRNA from 1 species
UGACUAUAGAGGUCAACUCGAUAGAUACUUAGUAGGCGUCUAGACUCAAAUACAAACGAAACGAAGCUACGUAUUUUCAUGCCUGUGCCUUGUUUAUUGUUUUAUUUAGACUUAUAUUAGUUUGGAUAAAUGUUUUACAUUGUUAUAAAUCAAAUAUGAGAAUUUGAUUAGAAUCGGUGAACAUGAGUUUGACAGCUAGUGCCCCUUUAAUCUACGAAAACGUCAAAUGAAUACUUUAAUAAUGGAAACAUGUGUAUUUGACAAUUUUGAACGCGUCACAUGCUUUUUUGAACACGAACCAACCGGUGCUGAAUCUGAUGAUUUGAAGAGCAGCUAAUUUUAAGGAUCAUAACCAGCCUUAAAUAGUAGCUACUUUAUCAGGGAUCCGUAUCACACGUC